rnacentral:rRNA from 1 species
AUUGAACGCUGGCGGCAUGCCUUACAUAUGCAAGUCGAACGGUAACGGGCCUUCGGGUGCCGACGAGUGGCGAACGGGUGAGUAAUGUAUCGGAACGUACCUUUCAGUGGGGGAUAACGUAGCGAAAGUUACGCUAAUACCGCAUAUUCUGUGCGCAGGAAAGCAGGGGACCUUCGGGCCUUGCGCUGAUUGAGCGGCCGAUAUCAGAUUAGCUAGUUGGUGAGGUAAAGGCUCACCAAGGCGACGAUCUGUAGCGGGUCUGAGAGGAUGAUCCGCCACACUGGAACUGAGACACGGUCCAGACUCCUACGGGAGGCAGCAGUGGGGAAUUUUGGACAAUGGGGGCAACCCUGAUCCAGCCAUGCCGCGUGAGUGAAGAAGGCCUUCGGGUUGUAAAGCUCUUUCGGCCGGGAAGAAAUCGUAUCAGCUAAUACCUGGUGCGGAUGACGGUACCGGCAUAAGAAGCACCGGCUAACUACGUGCCAGCAGCCGCGGUAAAAC